CGGACUCACUCGCUAACUUGUCAAACAAUUUAACGAUCAAUCUUGAAGCUCGUCAGCUAGUUUAGCUGGCUGCGCUGACAGCAUGAGUUCGAAGAAGGGCAAAGCGGGGAAGACGCUGAAAACCAUUCAGCAUGAACUUGGGAAUGGACGUGCAAAGAAUACGAAAAUAGCACCGAAAACGCAGGCCCAGCCGUCAAUAUCUCCCCUUAACAUGUCCUCGAUUGAGAAAGCCAGC